AUCCGUUAUUUCUUUCAUCGCUCCCAACAUGCCAAUAUUGGCACUAACGGUACGUAAAUGUAACUCAUUUUUCAAACAACUAUUCAGAGUUCCUAGAGCUCCUUGUAAGGCUUGUUGAAAAACCCGUUGUCGAACUUGAUUCAUGGCCCUCUGCUGUUCAAACCGAAUCGUUUCAUUUUUGUAAUUUUCGAAUUGUUCCAAAGUCUUAUAAGUUGAAUUAAUCAAAUUCAAUUUUUCUCGCUCUAUCUCAGAGUAUCUAUUUACCCGAAACUGAUCUGCUUCUGUUUCUACUUUCCGCAAGUGGGCACGCGCUUUUUUGAGCUGUUCAAUAGCCUCCCCCCGCAGUUCUUCGGAAUUUCUAAUAGUAUUUAAGAUCCUCUGUUUUCGAUUAUCUAAUAAAUCACUUAAUGAAAGUAGAUUAUCUUUUCGUUCAUCUUGAAACUUCCAUAAUCCCUUCCCAAACCAAACAUGAGUCUUUCGAUUCAUUUGGCUCUCACGCUCAAUUACUUGGGGUAAAUUCUCAUAACUUUUUGUAUGAAUGUAAUGGGCCUAUCCUCUCUUCUUUAAUUGAGAAAAAACUGAAAAAAAAAACGAAUCUAAUGCAAAACGAAAAUACUUGGAGGACUCUUCUGACAAAAUCAAAAAUCUGUAUAAUUGUCAGCAAAGUUGUUUCUUUUUUUUCUUCGGUUCAAAUCCAAAAAAUUCUUCUUAAUUAUACAUACUUAAUAUUUAAUAUAUAAGGCACAGGUCGUCGAUUCAGCAUUGGAUAAAAGAGGGAAAAUGCCCUUUUUAAAAAUAAGCUGUUCAAAUCAUUUUAUCGAGAUGAGUGCUCUAUAUCGAGAAACUAUUUAUUUUCAUUAUUUUAAAACCAUCUCGAUAUUAACAUAGUGGUAGAAAGAAUACCAUGCCGCAUCUAGACUUCAAACGGUUUGCUUUAACCAUCUUAACAGCCCCACGUUAUUGGUUACUAGAGAAUCAAAGUGGAUUCGCCAAUUAAUCACGAAAUGCUGUGGUUCUUACAUCAAAUUUUUUAAGAAGUAAUUCGCGAGAUCAUGCACCUUUCUUUCCUAGUUCGAACGGAAAAGGGGUACAGCUGAUUGAAUACAGCCUAUUCUUGAAAUAAACAACUCACACACACUCCCCUUCCAAAAAAGAGCAAUACAACAAUCACUACACUUAGAUUUAUUAGAUUUGUUGCUAAAAUAUCGGUAUUAAAUCCGAAACUCGCGGAAAACGGCCAGUGGCCCAAAGAAACGAAAGAAUCAGUUCCAUUUUUCAUAUAAUCUCCUCUUAAUAGAUAGACUAUCGACCAGAAUUCUCUUUCUAUCACUUUACCCCUCUUUUUAUUUAUUCUUUGUUUUUUUUUGAAGUCAAGUCAAAAAGAAAAAGUAUUCGAGUUCGAAAAUAGGAACUACCCCUUAAGACCUCAUAAAAAGAGUUUCCACGAAGGCGAAGGAUGAAAGCAAGAGGGUAUUCUAAUUACUCAUCUGCAAAUCAGCCCCUCCCAUAGGUUAUUUUCUAAACGAAUAAGGAAUUGUAGGAAUGAUAUCUUGAUCCAAUUUGAAAAAGCAAACAAGAAAUCCAAGGCCCUAAAAUCCGAAAAAUACAUAUUUUUUGAUUUAAACAAAAGGAUUCGCAAAUAAAAGUGCUAAUGCUACAACCAACCCAUAAAUAGUUAAAGCUUCCAUAAAAGCUAGACUAAGCAAUAGAGUACCGCGUAUUUUCCCCUCUGCCUCGGGCUGUCUUGCGAUACCCUCUACGGCUUGACCCGCAGCAGUCCCUUGACCAACUCCAGGUCCAAUAGAAGCAAGCCCUACGGCCAAUCCAGCAGCAAUAACGGAAGCAGCAGAAAUCAGUGGAUUCAUGAUAAGUUCCUCAUACCAACAAAAAUAAAUGGUUAAUGAUACACUCAACCAAUGAAUUAUGACUUAAUUAUUCCAUCAAUAGGAUUCAUCCUGUCAAAGGAACUAAGAACUUCGAGUUUAAGUAAGAAUAUCAUAUAUUCAGGACUCCGAUAUCUGUUUCUAUACACAGAAUUUUUUUGAAUCCAUAGAACUUUCGUUCUUCCAUUUCUUGGUUCCGAACUGUUAUUUCCAGUCUUACAUCUUUUCUUGAUUUCAUCUCUUUAUUCAUCCAAUUCACAGCCAUAAGAAUACGGAAAGACUUCUAUUGAAACUCGCACACAACAGUAGGGCAACUAAAAUAUAUCUUUAGUUCAUAGAGAACCAGCCAAUAUCUAAUAUCACAUAUACAUGUCUUUCUUCCAUAACGUAAACCAUUGGAUUCAAUCGGAUUCGAGAAUCAAUCCAUUUUUUUAGAAAUCCGAUUUUUAGAAAUUCUUUUCUCCUUUCCCCUCUUUUUUUAUUUAAUCAAACGUUAUAUCUAUAUCAUAUCUUAUUCAAAUUCUGAUUUGAAUAAGAAGAUUGACUGACUAAUAUAAAAGUAAAUCUUCGUUACGGAAAGGUAGGAUAUUAAGCGGACGAAAGAAAAAUUAGGUUUAGGAAAAAGAUCUUUUGGAUCUCUUUCCUUUUUUGUUUUUACAACUCUCUAAUAUCGUAAUCUUUUAUUUUUUUGUUCCCAUUUUUUUCUAUCAUAUAGAAAGUCUUCUAUAUUUAUAUUCCUUAAGGAAAUCAUCGUGAACUACUGCUUUGCGCUAAGGGAAAAAAGACUAUUUCAAUGGUGACCCUCCAUGGAUUCACCUAUAUAAGCCGCAGCUAAAGUUGCAAAAAUAAGAGCUUGAAUACCACUUGUAAAUAAUCCAAGGAACAUAACAGGGAUAGGAACCACUGAAGGUACUAAAGAAACAAGAACAACAACUACUAAUUCAUCCGCUAAGAUAUUCCCGAAAAGUCGAAAACUAAGUGACAAGGGCUUUGUGAAAUCUUCUAGAAUGUUAAUGGGUAAAAGGAUUGGGGUUGGUUGAAUAUAUUUCCCGAAAUAACUUAAUCCCUUUUUGGUAAGACCCGCAUAGAAAUACGCCACUGACGUGAGUAAAGCCAAAGCAACAGUAGUAUUUAUAUCAUUCGUGGGUGCGGCUAACUCUCCAUGAGGUAAGUCUAUGAUUUUCCAAGGUAAAAGAGCUCCUGACCAAUUGGAAACAAAAAUAAAUAGAAAGAGAGUUCCAAUAAAAGGAACCCAAGCGCCGUAUUCUUCUCCAAUUUGAGUUUUACUCACAUCUCGAAUGAAUUCAAGAACAUAUUCGAAAAAAUUCUGACUCCCAGUCGGAAUGAUUUGUGGGUUCCGAACAGCUAUAGUAGCUGAACCUAAUAAGAUAGCAAUUACAACCCAAGAAGUAAUAAGUACUUGUCCAUGGACUUGGAAACCCCCUAUUUGCCAAUAAAAAUGUUGGCCUACUUCCACACCGGAUAUAUCGUAUAGUGUAUUGAUGGAACAUGAUAGCACAUUCAUAUUGUCCUCUGGAAAAAAAUGGAACUUUAAACAAAAUUAUUUUGAUUCAACCAUCUCUUUGUCUACUUGAAUCGGAUCUUUUGAGUAUCAACUAAUAUUUUCAAUACUAACUAAUCACAUAAUAUCUCCAGUUAUUUUGAUACAUUUUUCAAAAUAAAUAAAAAAUAACCGAUUCUAUCCGAUUUUCGAAGUAAAAGUUAUUUAUCUUAUUAUUAAUUAAGGAUUUCUUAUAUAGCUAGAACGGCCCUCACAAAUUGCGAAUACUAAUUUGUUAAGAAUUAAGCGGAUUGAAGAUAUAGCGUCAUCAUUCGCGGGAAUCGAAAUAUCUGCAAGAUCGGGAUCACAAUUUGUAUCGAUUAAACAAAUUGUUGGAAUUCCCAAAGUGAGGCACUCUCGCAGGGCCGUAUAUUCUUCAUGCUGAUCAACGAUAAUUACAAUAUCGGGUAACCCCGCCAUAUAUUUAAUCCCGCCCAGAUAUGUUUGCAAGCGAGAUAAUUGUCUUUUCACCACAGCCGCAUCUCUUUUCGGCAAAUAGUUGAGUCUUCCCAUUUUUUGUUCCAUUCUUAAGUCCCUGAACUUAUGAAGUCUCGUUUCUGUAGUCGACCAAUUUGUUAACAUCCCGCCGAGCCAUUUUUUAUUAACACAAUGACACCGGGCCCUUAUUGCAGCCCGUGCUACUGAAUCAGCUGCCUUAUUUUUGGUACCAACAAUCAAGAAUUGUUUUCCUCUACUUGCUGCAUCAAAAACCAAAUCGCAGGCUUCAGAUAAAAAACGAGCAGUUCUAGUAAGAUUUGUAAUAUGAAUACCUUUACGUUUUGCCGAGAUAUAAGGUGCCAUUUUAGGAUUCCAUUUCCUAGUACCAUGGCCAAAAUGAACUCCUGCCUCCAGCAUCUCUUCCAAGUUAAUGUUCCAAUAUCUUCUUGUCAUUUCUCCCCACACCCCCCCUCAUUUCAAAAAAAAGCGACGAGGAGCCUUGAACUGAAAUAAAUAAUUGUUCCGACGGAACCUUCUCUUCUACCGUAGAUUGGCCGUAGAUAGACGCCCAAGCCGUUUGUCUUUUCUAUUGCUUACUAUUUUGAUUACCAAAUCAAAUGACUGCACCAAAUCCAGAUAGUCAAAAAGAGGAAUCCACUUUUAAGAAUCAUUAAAUCCUAUAAACGAUUGUUCCGCUCUAUCAUGGAAGUUCUUUGAAAGAAAAGAAUCCAAUAAUUUUCUGUGAUGAAACAAAAUAUCUCUCAUUUCCCCCUCGAAUAGAUUGUUUUUUAUUUCCAAAGGGCUCUUGGUAUAUUCUUUUGAAGGGGGCACUAAUCUUUUCAAUCCGGUACCAACAGGUACCAUACCCCCCAAAACAACGUUUUCUUUCAGGCCCUUCAACCAAUCGAUUCGACCCCGGAGAGCUGCUUUUGCUAAGACUCGAGCCGUUUCUUGAAAACUCGCUUCAGAUAGAAAACUUUGAGUAUUGAGAGAUGUUCUUGUUAUUCCCAAUAAGAGGGCUCGGUAACAAACUGCUUCUUCCAACGCGCGCCCCAUUCGUUCCGCCCGCAACAAUCCAAUUAGUUCUCCGGGUGAAAAAACAUUAGACAUUCCAUCUUCUGAAACCAAGACCUUUGAUGUUAUUUGACGUACAAUAAUUUCGAUAUGCCUAUUAUGAAUCUGCACCCCCUGAGAUCGAUAAACCUUUUGGAUCUUAUUAACCAAAGAGAUACGACCUUGCACGAUAGUUAGCUCAGCACCAAUCAAGAAUGCCCACGGCAUUCCAAGAAUUUUUGUUAUACGCUCGUUCCAACCUUCAACCCUCUUUUCUAGAUUCAUUGAUAUUGAAUCAAUCGAACGCACCUCUAACACCUGCUCCACUUUUGGAAGCCCCUGGGUUAUAUCACCAGAUCUCGAUUUUUCAUAUAUAAAUGUAAUUAAAGUAUCUCCUUGGUACAUUAGUUCCCCAUAAUGACCAUGAACAGUUGCUCCUGUAGUGGCCAAAUAAGGCUUAGCUGAUCGUAUUACUACAGAGUCAACUUGAACAAGUAUAAUUUGACCCGAUUUUAGGUGUGAUGCGUUUUUGACUAUACAUAUAUUUUCACAAAUAAGCUGCCCAAGAUUCAUUAUUGUAGAUGUUUCUUGACAAUAAUUGAGAUGAAGAAAAUCCCAACUCAAAUUGAAAAUAAUGUUACUGCGUGAAUCGGGGUUCGAAAUUUUCUCAUUUUCAUCCAUUAGAAAAUACUUAAUUACUUGAAAAGUCUGUUUUAAAUUCUCAAGUUCCAAAUAGUUAUUUACCAAGAUCUGAUUAUGAGUUAUUAAAUGGUAAAAUGAAUAAAGAUUUGUAAGUAGAAAGGCUGUUCCUAAAGGCCCCAUCGAAUUCUUAAUUGGAAUUCGAGGAUCUUUUGUAAUUUGAAUUGAUUCUUGUAUCACAUUGUGAUAUUUUACAUCAUUGAAUGGACCCAUUCGAAAACAAUUGGAUGAUGACAAAAUUAUUAACGACUGUAAUCCCGUAUUUCUAUUCAAUAACAUAUGAAUAGUUCUUUGAUUUUGAUUAAGGGGUUGUUGAAUUCUUGCCUUGGAAUAAGAAUAAAUAGAAGAAAACGGAUUGAUAUUGGUGAAAUCUGAUCCAUUAGCAGAGAGAAACCCUGAGCCCGAUGGAUCAUUCCUUUUUCCGAUAUAUGAAAUAGUGAAUUUUGCCAAGUCGAUUCUUAGGAAAUGUCGAAUCAAACCAUUUGCCCUUAUUUCAACAAGGGAAGCACGGGCUUCUUGACUAGAAGAACUUUUUUUGUCUUCGGUCCAAUUCAAUACUAAACAAGUCCGAACUAAUUGAAUAUUUGUAUCAGAAAUUCCUCGAAUUGGUUUACCGUUUCCAGAAAGGAUAUAAUUGACAACUUGAAGUUGGGCACUAUCCCUUUCCUGCGCCAGAUCCGGGUAAAAAAGAGUUGCUAAAGUUAUACCGUCCAUUAUUUCAUAUGUGGCGACAGGCCGAAUCAAAACAAAAUACUUUUUCUUGCUAAGUGUAAUCCGUUGAACAUAGAUCCAAUUUUUCCGUUUUUUUGAUUCCUUGUAAUUUUGUUUUCCUGUUCCUAGUGGUAUCAAGCCGCCGCUAUGUCGGGAUAUCUUAUCUGUCUCUCCAGGAAAAUGGAUAUCUCCAGAAAAGAUUUUCAGUUCCAGUUUUUUUUUUUUUCUCUCGACUCGGACCAAUCCGCCCACACGGCUUCUUAUAUUUAAAGUAAUUUGUGUAUCUACCCCAAUGAUACUAUUGUUCCGUACCCUUAUGAAAGAAGAUACGGGUAAGAUAUGCACUUCCUCGGGAAUGAAAAAAAACGGAUCUACUUUCAUUUGGUAUUUUGGCCAAAAUUCCUUGUCUCCUUGAUACUCAAUCAAAUCCUCUUUUUGGAGGAUUGAAUGCAUUUCUAGAGUCCCAUAUUUAGUAAUGCCCGAACUCUUUCUUCUGUAUCUAGGAUCGUCGAAAUAAGCAAGAAUACUUUUUCUACGCAAAAUACCAUUGGGGGGCGUUUCAAUCGAGAUACCUGAAGGGGACAUUAGUUCGUUCUCACGUUCUUGACUCGACUGGAGUGGGAUGAUGAAUCUAUUUCUUCGUCUCUGUGAGAAUAAAUCCGAAUUCUGGUAGAGAAUGGUGGUAUCCAUGAGAUUCCAACGACCAGUACAUAGAAUUCGACUAAUGUCUGAAUAAUCAGGAAUCCUAUGUUCUUUUUUACCUCUACCCGAAAAAUUGGAUUUUUGUCUCGACUGAUCAUUCCUUCCUGAGAAGUUUGAUGUGGACCCUCUCUUGAGAGAACGAAAAUCCGCACUCAUUUGAUCUUGAUCCUUGUGGAGUGCAAGUGAGACUAGACUAGAUCCGCACGAACCUCCUAAUAAUAUCCAUAAAUGACUUGUUUUUGGUAAUAGAUGAACGUUGCCGUAUGGCAAUUCGAGUGCAUGAUAUACGUUGGUACUCCAGUGCAGUUCUCCGUCUGAGUCGGAAUAAAUAUGUUUUCGAACCUUCUCUUUAAAAUUAAAAGUCGAUGUUCCUGUGCGAAUCUCCGCAAUUACUUGUUCUGAUUCUACAUAUUGAUCGUUUUGAACUAAAAGAAAACUUUGGGGUGGAAUAUU